rnacentral:rRNA from 1 species
GAUGAACGCUGGCGGCGUGCCUAAUACAUGCAAGUCGAGCGAAUGGAAUAAGAGCUUGCUCUUAUGAAGUUAGCGGCGGACGGGUGAGUAACGCGUGGGUAACCUGCCCAUAAGACUGGGAUAACUCCGGGAAACCGGGGCUAAUACCGGAUAACAUUUUGAACCGCAUGGUUCGAAAUUGAAAGGCGGCUUCGGCUGUCACUUAUGGAUGGACCCGCGUCGCAUUAGCUAGUUGGUGAGGUAACGGCUCACCAAGGCAACGAUGCGUAGCCGACCUGGGAGGGUGAUCGGCCACACUGGGACUGAGACACGGCCCAGACUCCGACGGGAGGCAGCAGUAGGGAAUCUUCCGCAAUGGACGAAAGUCUGACGGAGCAACGCCGCGUGAGUGAUGAAGGCUUUCGGGUCGUAAAACUCUGUUGUUAGGGAAGAACAAGUGCUAGUUGAAUAAGCUGGCACCUUGACGGUACCUAACCAGAAAGCCACGGCUAACUACGUGCCAGCCGCCGCGGUAA